rnacentral:rRNA from 1 species
GUGAGGAAUAUUGGACAAUGGGCGCAAACCUGAUCCAGCCAUGCCGCGUGCAGGAAGACGCAUCUAUGGUGUGUAAACUGCUUUUGUACGGGAAGAAACACUCCCUCGUGAGGGAGCUUGACGGUACCGUAAGAAUAAGGAUCGGCUAACUCCGUGCCAGCAGCAGCGGUAAUACGGAGGAUCCAAGCGUUAUCCGGAAUCAUUGGGUUUAAAGGGUCCGUAGGCGGUUUAAUAAGUCAGUGGUGAAAGCCCAUUGCUCAACGAUGGAACAGCCAUUGAUACUGUUAGACUUGAAUUACAAGGAAGUAACUAGAAUAUGUAGUGUAGCGGUGAAAUGCUUAGAUAUUACAUGGAAUACCAAUUGCGAAGGCAGGUUACGACUUGUGGAUUGAUGCUGAUGGACGAAAGCGUGGGGAGCGAACAGGAUUAGAUACCCGAGUAGUCC